AUCCUGCGAUGUGCGUUACGGUUUUACGUUGUUUUGAACCAAUGUAUGUUUCCAGGGAGUUCUAAAUCAUAUCACGGCUGACCCGCCCUCCAAAGGGGACUUCAAAAGUGAUAUUGCGGACACCCACCUGCUGAUGCGGGUUUCGAAACAAGAUAAUCGGACGGCAUUUGCGGGGUUU
rnacentral:other from 1 species